GAUGAACGCUGGCGGUCUGCUUAACACAUGCAAGUCGAACGAACUCUUCGGAGUGAGUGGCGGACGGGUGAGUAAUGCGUGAGAAUCUGGCUGUGGGUCGGGGACAACCACUGGAAACGGUGGCUAAUACCGGAUGGGCCGAAAGGUAAAAGAUUUAUUGCCCACAGAUGAGCUCGCGUCUGAUUAGCUAGUUGGUAAGGUAAAAGCGUACCAAGGCGACGAUCAGUAGCUGGUCUGAGAGGAUGAGCAGCCACACUGGGACUGAGACACGGCCCAGACUCCUACGGGAGGCAGCAGUGGGGAUAUUGCACAAUGGGGGAAACCCUGAUGCAGCCAUGCCGCGUGUGUGAAG
rnacentral:rRNA from 1 species